rnacentral:rRNA from 1 species
AAUGAACGCUGGCGGCGUGCUUAACACAUGCAAGUCGCACGAGAACUCUUUAGCUUGCUAAAGAUAGUAAAGUGGCGCACGGGUGAGUAACGCGUGGGUAAUCUUCCUUCAAAUUGGGGAUAACUCGCCGAAAGGCGGGCUAAUACCGAAUGAUAUCUUUGAAACCUCGGUUUUGAAGAUCAAAGGUGGCCUCUAUUUAUAUGCUACUGUUUGAAGAUGAGCCCGCGUACCAUUAGCUUGUUGGUAGGGUAAUGGCCUACCAAGGCUGCGAUGGUUAGCUGGUCUGAGAGGAUGAUCAGCCACACUGGAACUGACACACGGUCCAGACUCCUACGGGAGGCAGCAGUGAGGAAUUUUGCGCAAUGGGGGAAACCCUGACGCAGCAACGCCGCGUGAGUGAUGAAGGCCUUCGGGUCGUAAAGCUCUGUCAAGUGGGAAGAAAAAUUUCGAUCAAAUCGAGAACUGACUGUACCCUCAGAGAAAGCCCCGGCUAACUACGUGCCAGCCGCCGCAGUAAAAC